UAAAAAAUUUUGGCGGUAUUUUAAGCUUAUUAGAGGAAUUUGCUCUGUGAUGGACACAACGCCUUAAUCUUACUUAAUUUAGUAAUUUAAAUCAGUUUGUAUACCACUAUAUUAAUUAUAUUGAAUAGUUAUAUUUAAAAUUUCUUUAAAAAAAAUAUAUUAAGUCAAGGUGCAUCUAAUAAUUAUGAAUGAAGUGAAUUACAUUAAUUUUAAUGUAAUUUUUUACAUGAAAAAAUUAAUUAGGAUUUAAUAGUAAAAUACUAAUAUUAUGAGUAUUUGAAUCAAGCUCUAAAAUAUGCACAUAUCGCCCGUCGCUCUCAGAAGUGAGAUAAGUCGUAACAAAGUAAAAAUACUGGAAAGUGUUUUUUAAAAUGAAAUCAUUUGAUGUUUCAUUUACAAUGAAAAUUUUGUUGUUUAACCAUUUUAA
rnacentral:rRNA from 1 species